rnacentral:lncRNA from 1 species
UUCCUUUCAUGUUUUAUUUUGUUUUCAUUUUGUUCAUGUUUUCCUUCAUCGUUUUUGGUUUUCGUUUUUGCUUCUGUUAUCCUAGUAUUUUUUUUACAUGUGUGUACAGAGUGAUGAGAAAUUGUUGGACGAAUCCGGGAUCGAUUGUAGUGGAUGAAAGAUACUCCUCAUACUUGUUCUGUUAAGGUACCCCGAAAGUUG